rnacentral:sRNA from 1 species
GCUAAAACGACCACUACCACAAAUUUAG